rnacentral:lncRNA from 10 species
AACAAUCACUCCUGAAACAUCAGAAUUCUCAUUACUUAGUACUAAAAGAUAUUCAAGAAAUAUUGUUGCAGUGGAUAGCUAGUCAAGUAUGAGCAGGGCAGGAGAGGGCUCCCCUCCUCCACACACCAAAUGUGCUGGGAGCCCCUCAGGUGAUGGUCAAGUGGUUGUUAACUGUUUCUCUAAAGUAGUAAUUGGUCACAGCCGGUGGCAGGGAAAGGCAAUCUUCUAAUGGAAAACACCUGAAACUGACCAGCAGCUUCCCAGUAAGAUCUUAGGAGUGAGGAGAAGGCAAGAUCCCAGAAGUAUGCCAAAGUAUUAAACCCCAAGUCAAGAGGUCAAGCUGUGUACUUGGCUUCUCAAGUCUCCCGCUUGGCCCUCUUCCAGGUUGUACUUCCCUUUGUUUCCUUUCCGUUCUAAAACUUUUUAAUAAGCCUUCACUCCUGUUCUGAGACGUGACUCGGUCUCUCUUUCUGCCUUAUGCCCCUUAGUGGAAUUCCUUAUGAGAAGGCAAGAAUGGAGGGUGCUGCAAACCUAUACAGAUUAACCGCCAAUGUCUCCGGAACUCGGAUCUCUUCCACAGGUCUCCAGUACAACAUUGAAAAGAAGUGGUGAGAGAGCUAACAUCCUUGCCUUGUUCCUGAGUUUAUAAAGAGUUUCUAGAUGCAAACACACACACACACAAAAGUGUGCUUCCAGAAGAUGCUGCUGGGAAGGCCACUGCAUCCCUAGGGAGCCAAAUCAAAGCAUUUUGUCCUAAUGUGUCCGGAAUUGGUGGGUUCUUGGUCUCACUGACUUCAAGAAUGAAGCCGUGGACCCUCGCGGAAAGAUAGAAUAGAAGCUACAAGAUCUGCAGUUAUGCUUCCUCUUACCCAAUUUACAGAUAAUAUAUGUUUGUGGCUGUGAUACACAGAAAAAUGGCAUCCAAGGAAAGUCCACCUCCUAAUCCUCAGAAGCUGUGAAUAUGUUACUUUAUAUGGCAAAAUGGACUCUGCAGAUGAGAUUAAGUUUCUGCCUGCCUGACAAUCACUCUGCUGAUGGCAACCAAAUAUUGUCUUCUUCCUGGAGUCUCAGGGAAAAUGUGGCCUGGGGCAGACCCUAGUUCUUCAGAUGGAAGGUGAAACUUCAAUACAUCACCGCAACAGGAAACAAUCUCAAGAAUUUGUAUUUACACAUCCUGGACAAAGAAAGUGUAAAUAAGUCUGGAAUGCAGUCAUCAGUUCCCAGGUCCUGGAAGGCAGGAGUCUGGAGUCAGGCAGAAAGAGAAAGCAGGCACAGUGACAACCAGCAGUACACUUAAGGAUUAGAGUGCAGAUUUUUCUAAGCUCCCAGGCCAAUGCCUGAAUACCUUUAAAGAAAGCAAUAGGAAAACAGAAGCCCAGUCUGCUAGGUGGAAAAGAUGCUUUUAUGAUCCUGCCUCUGGCCCCGGGCUUGAGCCAUUGGGGUAGAACUGGAAACUGUGUCAAGGGUGACUGAUUCCUGCUUCUAGUAUGAAAAAAUUAAACUUGCAUUUGAAACGGAUGCUGAAGCAACAUAAAAUUUUAAGAAUUCACUCAAUGUUAUAUUAGUCAAAACUCAAGAGGAAUAAUAACAAGGUGACUUUAGAGAAAAAUAAGGACAGAACAAUAAUUCUAAUUGGAGAGAAGGAAGAGGAGAGAAGGAGGUAAGUGAGCUUUGAGCAAAGUGAUGAUCAAUAAAGUGGACAUUGAACAUUAUUACUGUUAUGACUAUGACUACCACUAUAAGUAACAAAAAUAAUAGUUCUGGCAUUUAAUAAGCACAUAUUAUGCACCAAGAACUUUUCUAAAUGCAUAACAUUAAUUAACUCAGUUAUUCCAAAUUGUAAUUAUGCUUUCCCAGGGGAAGGGAGUUAUAAAUACAUUCCAGAGGAAUAAACAUCAUUAUUAAAAGACUUAAAGUGCCAGAUAUAUUAAAAGUGAGUUAAAGCAUGG